GGAAGCUGGGGUGGCUCUUUCUUCUUCUCCUUCUUUCUUCCCUCCCAGGGAAGUGUCAUUUGUACAAAUUGCCCGUCCGUGCCAGCUUGGGAGAGACCUCACAAGGGAAACCUGGAGCCUUCCCCGCUUUUCAUGUGAGCGGAUGCCCCUUUUAUUUCUGAGCAAGGAGUAAGUGGAGAAGAAAGCAGCUCCUGUCAGCCUCCGGGAGACAAAUUGCUUCCUGCAGCCCGAGGUGGCUCGGCUGUGAGAGCCAGAGCAUGCACCUGCUCUGCUGCUCGCGUCCUGGCAUUUAAUUAUCCGCUGAAGAUGUCAAGUCUGACAGGCGAGAACGAGACCCCGGCCAGUAACCCCUGACAGGACUUCCCAGUGACAACAUCUGGAUACUGGAGCCCAUCUGCUGGAAUGGCCUCAGUGCCGGGCAGGGGGACGUGGGCACUGCUGGAGCCGGGGGCUGGCAGCCCCCGGGGUCACUGGGGUCUGCACCCAGCAGCCUGCACAGCCCCUGCAGCUCUCUGCCAUGGAAAUGUGUGGGGACAGUUCCCCCAGCCGGUACAAACCUCUCUGUGCUCGCUGGGCUCCCAUCAGCCCCAGGGCUGAGAGCCAAGCCCGCUCUCUUCUGGAGAGGCCCAGCAGCCCGGGGUGCUCUCCCUCCUGUGGGGAAAGCAAAGCUCCCCUCACCUUGCCCUGGGGUGGCCAUUAAGGGAAUUAUCCGAGUUCUUUCCGGUUCUGAAAGUGCAUCUGCUCUUUUCCCUGUGUGCCAGGCAAUAAAGCUGCCAAAAGGCAUUUUUGGGGCUGUUA